AUUAGCUUCCCCACUACCACAUGUAUACUGCCUACCGACACUUUCAACAUAUUGUACCACUGACUCCCUACCUACCACUUCCCUUAAUUCCUGAGAUAAGUCAGUCCACCACCUUGAUUUAUCUGUUUUCGUCUUCAUCUUCCUCAUUUUUUCGGCUUUUUUAUUUUAAUCCAGGAAAUCGUCAACCAUAUAAUUAGAGAAAUAGGUCAAAGACCAUAUUACUUCAAGGUGGUAAAGAACACUGUGCAGGAUAUUGCAGAGCACGAGAAUAGGGCUGAGAGGCGCACGGCUAUACCCUAAUGAAAAAACUCUCCAAAGGAGAGAGCAAAGAAGCGUACAAGUGGCGCUUGGAGAUGACCACUCAUUCAGGCUCAAGUUUGAGCAAUUUUUUAUUUUUAUUUUUAGGAGGAGAUAGAUUAAACAGGACCCAAGUUUGAAGGUUUUCUUUUUCUUUUUUUUUUUAAGUAAGGUGGAAAUUUUAUUUCAAGUAAAAAUAAAUUAAAUAAAUACACAACUUGAUACGGCCACUGAAAACAGUAAAAUAACCUGAUAGAAUUCAUUAAAACAAAA